rnacentral:rRNA from 1 species
AAGUCGUAACAAGGUUUCCGUAGGUGAACCUGCGGAAGGAUCAUUAUUGAAUAAACUUGAACAGGCUGUCGCUGGUCCCCUCGGGGGUAUGUGCACGCUUAUCAUCUUUAUAAUUUCUCCAACCUGUGCACACACUUGUAGACCCUGAAUGAAUUUCUAUUCGAGUUGGGGACUGCUGCGCUCACAAUUAAAAGCCGGCUUUCCCUUGUAUUUUUCAGGUCUAUGUCAUUUUUUCACAACCUCUAGAACAUGUUUAGAAUGUUGAAUCAGGUCUUUGUACCUAUAAUAAAAGUUAUAUACAACUUUCAGCAACGGAUCUCUUGGCUCUCGCAUCGAUGAAGAACGCAGCGAAAUGCGAUAAGUAAUGUGAAUUGCAGAAUUCAGUGAAUCAUCGAAUCUUUGAACGCAUCUUGCGCUCCUUGGUAUUCCGAGGAGCAUGCCUGUUUGAGUGUCAUUUGACUUCUCUCAACCACAUCGUCUUUUCGAUUGUGGCUUGGAUGUGGGGGGAUUUGCAGGCUAACUAACUGACAAGCCGGCUCCCCUGAAAUGCAUUAGUGGUAAUCUGAGCUGCUAUUGGUGUGAUAAUUUAUCUAUGCCUUUGGUACAGGACCGCUUAUAAACAACACAAAAAAUCAUUUGACAAAUUUGACCUCAAAUCAGGUAGGACUACCCGCUGAACUUAAGCAUAUCAAUAAGCGGAGGAAAAGAAACUAACAAGGAUUCCCCUAGUAACUGCGAGUGAAGCGGGAAAAGCUCAAAUUUGAAAUCUGGCAGCUCUUUGANCUGUCCGAGUUGUAAUCUAGAGAAGUGUUACCUGUGUUGGACCGUGUACAAGUCUCCUGGAAUGGAGCGUCACAGAGGGUGAGAAUCCCGUCUUUGACACGGACUGCCUGCACGUUAUGGUGCGCUCUCAAAGAGUCGAGUUGUUUGGGAAUGCAGCUCAAAAUGGGUGGUAAAUGCCAUCUAAAGCUAAAUAUUGGCGAGAGACCGAUAGCGAACAAGUACCGUGAGGGAAAGAUGAAAAGAACUUUGGAAAGAGAGUUAAACAGUACGUGAAAUUGCUGAAAGGGAAACGCUUGAAGUCAGUCGCGUCGGCUAGAAAUCAACCUUGCUUUUGCUUGGUGUACUUUCUUGUUGACGGGUCAGCAUCAAUUUUGACCGUCGGAUAAAGUCAUUGGGAAUGUGGCAUCUUAGGAUGUGUUAUAGCCCAUUGUCGCAUACGACGGUUGGGAUUGAGGAACUCAGCACGCCCGCAAGGGACGGGUUUUUUGACCACGUUCGUGCUUAGGAUGCUGGCAUAAUGGCUUUAAUCGACC